AGGCCUAACACAUGCAAGUCGAGCGGUAGCACAAGAGAGCUUGCUCUCUGGGUGACGAGCGGCGGACGGGUGAGUAAUGUCUGGGAAACUGCCUGAUGGAGGGGGAUAACUACUGGAAACGGUAGCUAAUACCGCAUAACGUCUACGGACCAAAGUGGGGGACCUUCGGGCCUCAUGCCAUCAGAUGUGCCCAGAUGGGAUUAGCUAGUAGGUGGGGUAAUGGCUCACCUAGGCGACGAUCCCUAGCUGGUCUGAGAGGAUGACCAGCCACACUGGAACUGAGACACGGUCCAGACUCCUACGGGAGGCAGCAGUGGGGAAUAUUGCACAAUGGGCGCAAGCCUGAUGCAGCCAUGCCGCGUGUGUGAAGAAGGCCUUCGGGUUGUAAAGCACUUUCAGCGAGGAGGAAGGGUUCAGUGUUAAUAGCACUGUUCAUUGACGUUACUCGCAGAAGAAGCACCGGCUAACUCCGUGCCAGCAGCCGCGGUAAU
rnacentral:rRNA from 1 species